GACGAACGCUGGCGGCGUGCAUAACACAUGCAAGUCGAACGAUGAAGCCGGAGCUUGCUCUGGUGAAUUAGUGGCGAACGGGUGAGUAACACGUGAGUAACCUGCCCUUGACUCUGGGAUAACUGCGGGAAACUGUAGCUAAUACCGGAUACGACCCUCGGAGGCAUCUCCUGGGGGUGGAAAGAAUUUCGGUCAAGGAUGGACUCGCGGCCUAUCAGCUAGUUGGUGAGGUAAAGGCUCACCAAGGCGACGACGGGUAGCCGGCCUGAGAGGGUGACCGGCCGCACUGGGACUGAGACACGGCCCAGACUCCUACGGGAGGCAGCAGUGGGGAAUAUUGCACAAUGGGCGCAAGCCUGAUGCAGCAACGCCGCGUUAGGGAUGACGGCCUUCGGGUUGUAAACCUCUUUUAGCAGGGAAGAAGCGAAAGUGACGGUACCUGCAGAAAAAGCACCGGCUAACUACGUGCCAGCCGCCGCAGUAA
rnacentral:rRNA from 1 species